rnacentral:ncRNA from 1 species
ACCGAGCUAGAGUUUUCUUCUCUAGUUAAGGAACGGACUCCCUGGAAUUGGUUCAGCCAGAGAUGGGGACGUUGUUUCCGAAAAGCACCGCGGUUUCUGUGGUGUCUCGUGCUCUCUGAACGGCCCUUUAAACACCAAGGGAGGCUAUUAAUUUGCACUCAAUCGUACCGAUAUCCGCAUUAGGUCUCCAAGGUGAACAGCCUCUAGUCGAUAGAAUAAUGUAGGUAAGGGAAGUCGGCAAACUAGAUCCGUAACUUCGGGAAAAGGAUUGGCUCCAGUGGUCGGAACGGUUGGCCAGUUGGUUGAUGCUUGUCCGGCGCUGUUCUGUCUGCUUGAUGCUUUCGGGCUGAUGGCGGCCUAGUGAUAGUGCUUGCUUGUUGACGCUUUCUGGUGUGUGCUUUGACCUCGGUCUUAGUAUCCUGAUCGUUCAUCUAAACGACUAAACUGGAACCGGUACGGACUCAGGGAAUCCGACUGUCUAAUUAAAACAGAGGUGACAGAUGGUCCUUGCGGACGCUGACUGUCACUGAUUUCUGCCCAGUGCUCUGAAUGUUAAAUCGUAGUAAUUCGAGUAAGCGCGGGUAAACGGCGGGAGUAACUAUGACUCUCUUAAGGUAGCCAAAUGCCUCGUCAUUUAAUUGUUGACGCGCAUGAAUGGAUUAACGAGAUUCCUACUGUCCCUAACUACUAUCUAGCGAAACCACAGCCAAGGGAACGGGCUUGGCAAAAAUAGCGGGGAAAGAAGACCCUGUUGAGCUUGACUCUAGUUUGACAUUGUGAAGAGUCAUGAGAGGUGUAGCAUAGGUGGGAGUCUUCGGACGCCAAUGAAAUACCACCACUUUCAUCGACUCUUUACUUAUUCGGUUAAAAGAGAAUUGGUCGCAAGGCCUCUUUUCGAAGUAUUAAGCGGAUCCAUUUUAUGGAACCGUGACUCUCCCCGAAGACAGUGUCAAGCGGGGAGUUUGACUGGGGCGGUACAUCUAUCAAAUCGUAACGUAGGUGUCCUAAGGCGAGCUCAGAGAGGACGGAAACCUCUCGUAGAGCAAAAGGGCAAAAGCUUGCUUGAUCUUGACUUUCAGUACGAGUACAGACCGCGAAAGCGUGGCCUAUCGAUCCUUUUAAUUUUCCAGAUUGUUUCUGGUAAGAGGUGUCAGAAAAGUUACCACAGGGAUAACUGGCUUGUGGCAGCCAAGCGUCCAUAGCGACGUUGCUUU